UGCUUAUCCAGAAAGACGGAGGGAAUGGACCCAACGAUGUCUUGGCAACCGACCGGCGAAACGGAAACGGUGCCACGUUCCACCCCAGUUCGCUGCGGGGACAGAUAAGUU
rnacentral:ncRNA from 2 species